GUUACAGACUGUAAAAUCUCGACCAGCGCGUGUUUAGCCAGGGGAGGCCACUGCAGCGACACAUGCAACGCAGAUGAGGACACAGUCAACAAUAUCUGCAGUAGUCCAGGCUGCUCCUGUUGCGUUAAAAACUGCAAAACUCCAACCAGCGCGUGUACAGCCAGGGGAGGCCACUGCAGCGACAAAUGUAACACAGAUGAGGACACAAU